UUGCUUUGGCAGCAUUUACACUAAAACUGGAAUGAUACAGAAAAGAUUAGCAUGGCCCUUGUGCAAGGAUGACAUGCACAUUUGUGAAGUGUUCCAUAAUUUU
rnacentral:snRNA from 1 species